rnacentral:rRNA from 1 species
AACGAACGCUGGCGGCAUGCCUAAUACAUGCAAGUCGAACGAGAUCUUCGGAUCUAGUGGCGCACGGGUGCGUAACGCGUGGGAAUCUGCCCUUGGGUUCGGAAUAACUUCUGGAAACGGAAGCUAAUACCGGAUGAUGACGUAAGUCCAAAGAUUUAUCGCCCAAGGAUGAGCCCGCGUAGGAUUAGGUAGUUGGUGAGGUAAAGGCUCACCAAGCCGACGAUCCUUAGCUGGUCUGAGAGGAUGAUCAGCCACACUGGGACUGAGACACGGCCCAGACUCCUACGGGAGGCAGCAGUAGGGAAUAUUGGACAAUGGGCGAAAGCCAGAUCCAGCAAUGCCGCGUGAGUGAUGAAGGCCUUAGGGUUGUAAAGCUCUUUUACCCGGGAUGAUAAUGACAGUACCGGGAGAAUAAGCUCCGGCUAACUCCGUG